rnacentral:rRNA from 1 species
AGUUUGAUCAUGGCUCAGAACGAACGUUGGCGGCAGGCUUAACACAUGCAAGUCGAGCGCCCUGCUUGCAGGGAGCGGCAGACGGGUGAGUAACGCGUGGGAACCUACCUAAUAGUACGGAAUAACAGUUGGAAACGACUGCUAAUACCGUAUACGCCCUUUGGGGGAAAGAUUUAUCGCUAUUAGAUGGGCCCGCGUUGGAUUAGCUAGUUGGUGGGGUAAUGGCCUACCAAGGCGACGAUCUAUAGCUGGUCUGAGAGGAUGAUCAGCCACACUGGGACUGAGACACGGCCCAGACUCCUACGGGAGGCAGCAGUGGGGAAUAUUGGACAAUGGGCGCAAGCCUGAUCCAGCCAUGCCGCGUGAGUGAUGAAGGCCUUAGGGUUGUAAAGCUCUUUCGCUAGGGAAGAUAAUGACGGUACCUAGUAAAGAAGCCCCGGCUAACUUCGUGCCAGCAGCCGCGGUAAUACGAAGGGGGCUAACGUUGUUCGGAUUUACUGGGCGUAAAGCGCACGUAGGCGGAUUAGUAAGUUAGGGGUGAAAUCCCGGAGCUCAACUCCGGAACUGCCUUUAAUACUGC